UAAAUAUGUGGACCCAGGAACUGU
rnacentral:piRNA from 1 species